GGCGAGCUGCAGCUUGACGGAGGCCUUCCAAGUUCCUACCAGCCGACGGGCCAGAUCACGUUAUUAUUACCGGAAAACUCACGUACACUUACAUACAUAGAAAUUACCGGAAAACUCACGUACACUUACAUACAUAGAAAACUCACGUACAUGCACGCGUACGUACACAACCGCGCACAAACACAAGCAUGCACAUACAUGAGACAUACAACCUCUCCUUGCUACACGCACGUACUCCUGUAGGCAGGCAGCACCGUGCCGCGCGUACGUACUACUAGCUUUUUAUUCCCGCCCCACAUUUAUACUCAUCACUCAUGCAUGCAAGCAGCUCCACGAAUUGCAUGCAUGCGCACACUCGAGUUGAGAUCGUCGCUGCUCACAUGUCGAAGACGACGCGGCGCUGCUGCUGCGGGCCGUCGUGGAACACGGCCUCCGUCU
rnacentral:lncRNA from 1 species